GCUGGUGUAAAUGAUGACUUCACCUUUUUUCCCCAUCAGAUCGGCAAUGCUGAUGUCUUAGAACACUUGCCAGUUAGUCCUGACACACCGGC
ensembl:snoRNA SNORD12C small nucleolar RNA, C/D box 12C